GACGAACGCUGGCGGCGUGCCUAAUACAUGCAAGUAGAACGCUGAAGAGAGGAGCUUGCUCUUCUUGGAUGAGUUGCGAACGGGUGAGUAACGCGUAGGUAACCUGCCUUGUAGCGGGGGAUAACUAUUGGAAACGAUAGCUAAUACCGCAUAACAAUGGAUGACACAUGUCAUUUAUUUGAAAGGGGCAAUUGCUCCACUACAAGAUGGACCUGCGUUGUAUUAGCUAGUAGGUGAGGUAAUGGCUCACCUAGGCGACGAUACAUAGCCGACCUGAGAGGGUGAUCGGCCACCCUGGGACUGGGACACGGCCCAGACCCCUACGGGAGGCAGCAGUAGGGAAUCUUCGGCAAUGGGGGCAACCCUGACCGAGCAACGCCGCGUGAGUGAAGAAGGUUUUCGGAUCGUAAAGUUCUGUUGUAAGUCAAGAACGGGUGUGAGAGUGGAAAGUUCACACUGUGACGGUAGCUUACCAGAAAGGGACGGCUAACUACGUG
rnacentral:rRNA from 1 species